GAACACUGAUAAGCUAAUAACAUUGUUGCAUUAGGUGCGGGAGAAAGCUUGGGCAUAGCUGAAAGAGAACUAAGAUACCUGACGCAUGAAGGAUCUCUGAACAAGAAUACUUCCAGACAGAGCGGAGCCAAAUCGACCCAUAGAGGUAGCAGUCAGCCAAAUGGAGACUGCAAAAGACCUGGGGCUGGGGAGGAAAGAAGUGCCCUCUGGGCCUCAGUGGCUGCCAGGGUGAUCUGCAAUCAGCAAUAAAACCCAGAGGGUAGAACCCACUGUGAAAUGAGGAGCAGGCCAGACAGACUCCAAGGUAUGCCUGUGUACUACUUGUGUGCAGUGUCCACGAAUGCCAGAGAGGGUGUUUGAUCCCCUGGAACUGAAGUUGCAGGCGGUGGUGAGCCACCACGUGGGUGCUGGGAUUUGAACCCUAGUCCUCUGGGAGGGUAGCCAGCACUCUAAACCACUGAGCUGGCUCUCCAGACCUCUAAUUUAUUAUUUUGGUAGUUGUCUGCAUUACACUAAGUUCUAGUAGGGGGCAAUGGUGGACGCCUACAAGGAGGAGCAGCUGGAUCCUCAGCAGGUGAAGGGCUUCCUGGACAAGAAUGAAAAGCUGACUGCUCCCUGAUGUCGCCGUGGAAGGAAAGAACCGCUUCAGACAGCUGCUCUCCACACACUUCCCCUCCCGUGGGUGGCACCGCGUGCCUGUGUUCACACACUCACCACAUGUGCACACAACAGUAACGGCAAAGAAGGGACAUCAGCCUGGACAGCUGUAUCACCUACAGGACCAUAAGUGUUUCUUCUGAUCCAGUUGUCACUCUGAGUUGAUGCCCUUUGGUGUGUACUUUAUGUCUUUGGGUUUUGCCGUUGUUGUUGUUGUUGUUGUUGUUGUUGGCUCCCUUUCUGGGAUGGGUGGAUGUGCAUAUGUUGUGCCUCCCCAGGAAAAGUCUGUCACACAGCAGCCUGACAACUGGACUUUAAAGCCCAGAGCCCAUAUCAGGGGAGAAUUGAUUCCCACAAGUUGUCCUGGUGACACACAGACCAUGAGACAAUGCACUCCCACACAUACGCGUACCCACACACAAAACACAUGUCAACUAAUUAUGAAUUUCAGAGUUUACUUUCUGAUUCUCUGUUUCUUACCAAGAAAAAACAGAGGAGAAUCAAAAGGGGUCAUGGGAAGAUAUAGCCAAGGAUGUACCUCUAGUGACCUUCCUCCAACAGGCCCCAACUUCUGCAUUCACCAGUGAACGGAAAUCUGUGCUUCUCUAAUCUCCCAGGAGUCUUGGUUUCUUUUCCUGUUGCUGUGAUAAAGACACCCUGUCAAAAGCAACUUAAGGAAGAAAAUGUUGAUUUGGCUCAAAACCCCAGGUCACAGCCCAUCGAGGUGGCAGGGGGAGAGAGUAAUUCACCCAUGCUUGUUCUGAGCUCACUCUGUCUCAUUCAGUGAAGGGCCUCCACCUCAGCCCUGAAAUUAAUAUUUUUGUAGUUGUCCCCCACAUUCAGGGUGGCCUUCCCACCUCAGUUCACUGAAUUAAGAAACUCCCUCACAAGCAUGCCCACCGGCUAAUGUAAGCUACGUAAUCCCCCAGAAUCCCUUGAGAAGCCCCUCCCAGGUAUUCCUGGUUGUGUCAAGUAGACUAUUAAAACUCACCACAUACUAGGUGCUUUUUAAAAAUGUGUGCAUGUGUGUGUGUGUGUUUGCACAUGUGCACAUAUAGAGACUCAAGGGUGUUGCAGGGAAAGGGGCAUCAGAGAACAGCUUUAUGAAGCGGUUCAUAAAGGAAAGGGUCUUUCAUCUUUCCAUGGGUUCCAGGGAUCAAACUCAGGAGUCAGGCUCGCCUAACAGUGUGUCCCUCACUGAGCCAACUCAUGGACCCUCCUGCAUACUUCUUAAUCAAGUUGACAAAAUUAACCUCUGCAAAGGCAUUCCCUUUGUUGUGGGUUUUUGCAUUAUUAUAAGCACUGCUUCAAUCUC
rnacentral:lncRNA from 1 species